rnacentral:lncRNA from 1 species
UGACCACCUGAUCCCGUUAGUCGCUUCUUACGACAAGCAUGGGUUACUGAAGAUCAAUAUUCUAACCCGGACCUUCACGGGUAAAACAUAAAAGAUAAUUGUUUUCUGUUUCUGUAUUUCAGUGAAUUGUCACAUUGCAAACAAAACUAAGUAUGUUUCGUUAUAAAAUUAAUAAAGAGAAUGAUUAAAAAAUGAGUUUUAUUAGUGGAAAUGUAUUGUGAGUGGUGCUUAAGUUUUUUUCGAUGUGUAUAUUUGCUGUCAUGUUUCCAUCAGUCGCUGACGUUACAGUUGUAAAUAUCUGUGAGACUGUGUAUACAACUUACAUGUAGACUCAUAAUGACUGACAUUCUGUAUCACUCAUGUUGUGGAAUGUUGGCAGCAAAACCAUCCGUCAUUGGACAAAAUUGACGAAGUUUGAAUUUUAUUUUAUUUGCUUGUGCAUUUUUAUUUGAGUGCAGUUUUAUUUUCAUAUGUUCAGACUACUCUUGUGAAACAAUAUUGUGUCAAGUAACUUGGACACUAUGUAUAAGGAUAGAAUAAUGUAAGAGAAUAUUUGGAUAUAAUGAAAUAAGAAUAUCAUAGUGUUAACUUUUUUGGUAACCAGGGUACUUCGGGAUUCUGCAGCCAGAAUUUGUUACAGAUUUAUCCCCAUUCUUUAACCUGUUGACUGUUUUCUGCUGAAGUAGAUAUCAACAUAAUGGCUGGGAGAAGGUUUAAGAUGAUAGAUGCAUACUUCUGUGGAAACCAGCUGGAAAGGAAGAACCAUGUGUGUUAAAAUCAAAGGGUAUAUGUUUGGUUCAGAUGGUCUGUAAGACCUACCAGGAACUUCGGAAUUACUGUCAUACAAGUUUAAUUAAUUUUGUAGUAUUAACAAAAUAGAGAAAUGUCAUUGUAUUUAAUGUUUUGUUUUUAAAUGAACACCCAUGCCUGUAGUCCAGUGGUUGAGGAUGGGCCUAUCUCCUAAUUGAUAUGGUUAUUUCCAGCAGUACCUGAGGUAGCAGAACAAAAUGAUGCAUAUGUCUAUUGUUUUGUCAUUCUCUUGAGUAUAAUGCAAGACACAUGUCUAAUCUUUCCUGCAAUGUGUCAUUAUCUGAGUACGACACAAGACAUAUAUAUGUACCCUUACCUGCGAGGUGUCAUUAUCUGAGUAAUGGAAGGCACAUGUCUACUCUUACCUGCGAGGUGUCAUUAUCUGAGUAAUGGAAGGCACAUGUCUACUCUUACCUGCGAGGUGUCAUUAUCUGAGUAAUGGAAGGCACAUGUCUACUCUUACCUGUGAGGUGUCAUUAUCUGAGUAAUGGAAGGCACAUGUCUACUCUUACCUGCGAGGUGUCAUUAUCUGAGUAAUGGAAGGCACAUGUCUACUCUUACCUGCGAGGUGUCAUUAUCUGAGUAAUGGAAGGCACAUGUCUACUCUUACCUGUGAGGUGUCAUUAUCUGAGUAAUGGAAGGCACAUGUCUACUCUUACCUGUGAGGUGUCAUUAUCUGAGUAAUGGAAGGCACAUGUCUACUCUUACCUGCGAGGUGUCAUUAUCUGAGUAAUGGAAGGCACAUGUCUACUCUUACCUGUGAGGUGUCAUUAUCUGAGUAAUGGAAGGCACAUGUCUACUCUUACCUGCGAGGUGUCAUUAUCUGAGUAAUGGAAGGCACAUGUCUACUCUUACCUGCGAGGUGUCAUUAUCUGAGUAAUGGAAGGCACAUGUCUACUCUUACCUGUGAGGUGUCAUUAUCUGUCUAUGACACAGUCAUGUCUACUGUUGCCUACUAUUACCACCUAUACCAUGACACACUAUUGUCAAUCAUCGGAAAUAGCAUUAGGAUUGAUGUGUACAAUUAUUGUCUUGAUCAUGCACAUUACUUAACAAACAUGUGCAAUAUAAGACUUGGUGCAUUUGAUAUCUGUAGCAUUUUGGUAUAUGUAUAUGUAGGUACAUUGUAUUGAUUACCUUUGACUGAUAAACAUCUUUGGUCCUAUGUUGUGUAUACUUGAGAACAGAAUGUUAUUGGAUUGAUGAUAAAAGUUACUUAAAUUAAGUUGGAUGAAGGAAUGUUUGUUGAAGGCUGUAGAUCAUAGAUGGUUAGAUUCUAAACUGAAAUAUACAUUAAGUGUAAUUUUUCAGAUUGACAAGGGACCAAUCAGACACAUGUUGAUGGGAAUAUGUAUGUUAAUAUUAAUAUAUCAUGAGUUAUUAUCAUUUUCAUGAUUAGAUAUUGAGAGUUGAUUACAAAUUUGAAGCAUGAAUGUUGUUUAUUUCUGAAUAUGUUGCUUUGUUUAGUUUAGUAUAUUAUUUUCCAUGACCUGUUCACUAAUACUAGUUUCUUGUAUGAAAACACCUGCAAACAAUUCUAGUAACUUUUUUAUAUGAACUCCUUAAUGUCCAUCAGUGUAAAGAAAUACAUAUACAUUUAUUCAUGUUUGUUACUAUGAAAUGAUUUAUUUGAUUGUAUGUUUGAUGACCCCUAAAUGGCUUCUGAUAUGUGGAAAUGUGUGUUAUGUUGAAAAUCACCUUGAUUUGAUUUCACCAUGUUUCACCUUCGUGAAGAAAACCUGUUGAAAUGUUUAUGUAAUUUGACUGAUAUGUUUAUUACUGCAUAUAUACUGAAGGAAACAAUUAAGGGAACACCACUUUAUGGCAGUAUUCCUUUAUUUAUUCUCAGAUUUCCUCUCACAAUGCUAUUCAAAGCUGGUGAUGAAAACUGGAAAAUAUUAAAGGAUCACUUGAAUUUUCAUGUGUUCCUCUAUUUGUUUCUCUCAGUAUAUUAUCACCUAAUUGUAACAUCAUCGGUUACAUUUAUACAUGCUUUACUCAACUUCCUACUAUUGAUGAUCAUCAUAUUGCAUGAUCCAUACAUGUACAGGAAUAGGUGCCAGGUUUCCAAGGAAUACUGUUUUGUCAGGAAUAGCUGACACAGUCAACAGAAUGGUAGACACACAUGCGAUGAUAGUCAUCCUCUUGAUACAGGGAAACCAGUAUUCUCUGGGAUGGAUUGCCUAGGUUUUAUUUGUUCUGGUAUAAGCUGAAUAAAUCAUUUGAACCUCAGGUUUGAUGGAAAAAAAGAAAAGAAAAAGGUUUUGGGUAUGCAGGAUGUCUUGAAACGAACUUAUUCAGUUUCUUUCUGGAAAAGAAAUGUCUUAAAGUAACUACUCUACAACAGAAUAUGAAACUCUUUAAGAGGUUGGCCCCAUGGUCAUAUGUGUUCUAUGAAAAUUGUGAAUGAUAUCAGAUAGAUGUGUUGGUUAUGUUUAGAAUAGAACAAAUCAACGAUUAUUGUCAUUCCCAACUGAGACAUUGUAUUUCCAUACUUAUGGAAUAGAGUCAUCAGAUUGAUUGUUUAUAUUCACCUUAAAGUUUCAGAAUUUGCUGAUGCAGAGUAACAAGUACUUCUCCUCUCUGUCUUACUCCACAAUGAUUUGGGAGCUGGUUAAGUCCAUGCUGUUUGACUGCUGAAGUCUGUAUCACUGACUUUCAUUGUAAGAUGUAUAAUGUUUUAACAGUAAAUCUGACUGGUGAUUGUAUUCAUGAUAUUUAAUGAUAUCGACUCAGUCAAGCCAAUAAUGCCUUGAAAUGUUUUUGGUAAUGUUUCCUAUUUUUGUUUCACAAAAUGAAAAACUGGUCAGUUAUGAAAAAGAAGAAUCAUUGAGAGUUGUCUCCCUUUGAAAUUCUGACGUCUGCUAUUUUUAUCAUGGGCGGCCAUUAAAGAGCUGGAGACUGGCUCAGUAAAGAUUGAGACUUCAGUGUUACAACAGAGAGGGAAAACAUUUAGCAUUUAGGGUGAAACUUUGAAGAACACAAUCUUCUGACCAAUUACUGAGUUCAUAAUUUAUCUGAAAUCUCUUUUUAAGAGUGAUCACCAUUGGAGGAAUAUGGAAGAAAGGAAAUGGUUUUAUAUGGCAGUGGGUGUAGAUUUCUACAGGGCCACAUUUUUCCUACACAUUUCUAUGUUUACAUCCUGUUGUGUUGUGUGUAGACAUGCCUGAUCAGUGUUAUAUAAAUGCAGAUUGAUCAUCCGAUGUGAAGGAAAUCAAAGGUGAA